rnacentral:rRNA from 1 species
UACGAAGGGUGCAAGCGUUAAUCGGAAUUACUGGGCGUAAAGCGCGCGUAGGUGGUUCAGCAAGUUGGAUGUGAAAGCCCUGGGCUCAACCUGGGAAGUGCAUUGGAUACUGUAAGACUUGAAUACGGGAGAGGGCAGUGGAAUUCCUAGUGUAGGAGUGAAAUCCGUAGAUAUACGGAGGAACACCGAUGGCGAAGGCAAUCCCCUGGACCUGUACUGACGCUCAUGCACGAAAGCGUGGGGAGCAAACAGGAUUAGAUACCCUGGUAGU